GUAGAAAAAUUGAAAUAGGCACCCCCCCUUUAGCACCGGUUCGUGAAAACCGGUGCCAAAAGAAAUGUGCGGGAUUGAAAAAUUCAGCGUUAGCACCGGUUCCCACCAAACCGGUGCCAAAUCAUAUAAUUAGCACCGGUUCAAACCGGUGCCAAUUUAAAAAAAAAAAAAAAGUAUGGAAUAUAGUUGGCACCGGUUCGCCUUAAGCCGAUGCCAACUAUGGUAUUUAGCACCGGUUUAAACCGGUGCCCAUUUUGAAAAAAAAAAACCGGGCGAAAUAAAAAAUAUAUUCAGGUAUUCAUUUCUCUGCUUCUUCUUCUUUCUUUCUUUCUUUCUUUCCCCCCUGCAUUUCAUUUUCGUUAACCCUAACUCUCGUUUAAUUUCGCCCUUCUCUUAGCUUCGACCACCUUUCUCCAUAUUUCUCCUCCGUUACGCGUGCUCGUAAGUCUCCAUUGAAGCGCAUUCUGAGCUUUGUCCAUAUCACUCCUCCACUACGCGUACUUUUAAUUCUCCAUUGAAGCGGAUUCGAGCUUUCUCACCUUCAUUGAAGCAGCUUCGAGCAUUGAAGAAUUUCUCAGACGAAAGAGCCAAAAAAAUGAAAGCCUUACAAGAAAAAACGAAGCUUGAUGACAAAGAAGCUAAACGAAUUUAGUCCUGUCUUUCUGCUAUAAUGGAAGUCCGCAUAGUCUACUUUGAUAUCAUGAGACCAGCAGUAGCAGUGCAUAACCAAGACAACAGUACCAGUGCAGGCAGCAGACACACAGCAGCCAGAAACCUUGGACACUUCAAAUUUUUUUUUAGACGAAAAUUGUAUUAUUUUAGCCUUUUUUAAUGAAAUAAUGUAACUUUAUA